UGCGCCUGCGCAGGAAGCCGAGGCCCGGCGCGCGAGUGGGGCGGCCCUUGCGGGCAGGCGCGGGGACGGAACUGGAGGACAGGACAGAGUACGCGGGAGUGGCGCGGGGGCCAGCCGCCCUGGGUCAGUGAGGAGCCCUGGGGACCCGAACCGGCCUGCUGCUCCCGUCCUCAUCCAAGGCUCGCCUCUCCGGGGACGACCCCCGUCUAGGUCCCUGCACCUACCUUCGGGGCGGACCCGGCAGGUUUUCUAUGAGAUGUUUUACCAUAAUAAUGCUGGGUAACCCAAAUCUGUUUCUGGAACCAUGAAAAUUUUGCUGGUUUUUGACUUUGACCAUACAAUCAUAGAUGACAAUAGUGACACCAGGAUUGUACAAUGUGCUCCAGAGAAAAAGCUUCCUAUCGAACUACAAGAUUCUUAUGAAAAGGGAUUUUGGACAAAAUUUAUGGGCAGAGUCUUUAAGUAUUUGGGAGAUGAAGGUGUAACAGAAGAUGAAAUGAAAAGAGCAGUGACAUCAAUGCCUCUCACUCCAGGGAUGGUGGAACUUUUAAACUUUAUAAGAAAGAACAAGGAUAAAUUUGAGUGCAUUAUUAUUUCAGAUUCAAAUUCAGUCUUCAUAAAUUGGGUUUUAGAAGCUACCAAUUUUCGAGAUGUGUUUGAUAAAGUAUUUACAAAUCCAGCAGCUUUUGAUAGCAAUGGUCUUCUCACUGUGGAAAAUUAUCAUACUCAUUCUUGUAAUAGAUGCCCAAAAAAUCUUUGCAAAAAUGUAGUUUUGGUAGAAUUUGUAGAUAAACAGUUACAGCAGGGAGUGAAUUAUGCACGAAUUGUUUAUAUAGGUGAUGGUGGAAAUGACGUCUGUCCAGUAAUGUUUUUAAAGAAGAAUGAUGUUGCCAUGCCACGGAAAGGAUAUACUUUACAGAAAACUCUUUCCAGAAUGUCUCAAAAUCUUGAGCCUACAGAAUCUUCUGUUGUAGUUUGGUCUUCAGGUGUUGAAAUAAUUUCUCAUUUACUAUUUCUAAUAAAGGAGUAACAUGCCAGCAACUGAAAUGUGUAUCAGUUAAGAUGAGGUGCAGCAGCAUACAACUAAAACCCCAAAUACCUGUGGCUCAAAAAAAAGAGAGAUUUUUUUUUUCUUCUCACUUAAAAGAAUUCCAGAGGUGAGAGGAAGAGUCCUUCACUGACCUAGCAACCCCACGGCACAUCUUCAGUUCCAAUGUCCUGAAGUGUCUCCAAGUGUUCCUUUAAUAUGAAGUUUUUUGCCAGCAUCACUUCUCCUGGGGUACCUUCAUCCUUUUUGUCAGCCGUCGCUUUCCUCACUUAAGUCACGAAGUUCACCGGCACCAAGUUCCAUUGGCUGCAUAUCCACAGUCUCUCCCGUGGUGGCAGUGUCAACAUUUCCACGAUAUGAUCCCUGAGGAAAUGUGUUCACAUGGACAAGUAGAUGAGAAGGACAGGAAUUUUAUGAUAGCAAUGCCACUCAUUUCGUGGAUUCUUUCCAAGUUAUUUGUCAAAAAUGUUCUUUGACUUUUGCUGAAAACAAGAAAUUGGAAACUUUCUGACUUGCAAAAGUUCUUGUCACCCAGUCAUUAGAAUGUCCACUUUCUCGUUUUUCAGGAAGCAUACCGAAAAGGCUUUGCCAAGACAUAUGAACUCCAGGGCAGCCACAUACACCUGUGCUGUCGUGUACAGUAUAUCACCUGAGGAUAGUGUUC